CGGGGGWAAGCUUGCUUUCCUGCCGGCGAGUGGCGAACGGGUGAGUAAUACAUCGGAACGUGCCCUGUAGUGGGGGAUAACUAGUCGAAAGAUUAGCUAAUACCGCAUACGACCUGAGGGUGAAAGUGGGGGACCGCAAGGCCUCAUGCUAUAGGAGCGGCCGAUGUCUGAUUAGCUAGUUGGUGGGGUAAAGGCCCACCAAGGCGACGAUCAGUAGCUGGUCUGAGAGGACGAUCAGCCACACUGGGACUGAGACACGGCCCAGACUCCUACGGGAGGCAGCAGUGGGGAAUUUUGGACAAUGGGGGCAACCCUGAUCCAGCAAUGCCGCGUGUGUGAAGAAGGCCUUCGGGUUGUAAAGCACUUUUGUCCGGAAAGAAAUCGCACUGGUUAAUACCUGGUGUGGAUGACGGUACCGGAAGAAUAAGGACCGGCUAACUACGUGCCAGCAGCCGCGGUAAUACGUAGGGUCCAAGCGUUAAUCGGAAUUACUGGGCGUAAAGCGUGCGCAGGCGGUUGUGCAAGACCGAUGUGAAAUCCCCGGGCUUAACCUGGGAAUUGCAUUGGUGACUGCACGGCUAGAGUGUGUCAGAGGGGGGUAGAAUUCCACGUGUAGCAGUGAAAUGCGUAGAGAUGUGGAGGAAUACCGAUGGCGAAGGCAGCCCCCUGGGAUAACACUGACGCUCAUGCACGAAAGCGUGGGGAGCAAACAGGAUUAGAUACCCCUGGUAGUCCACGCCCUAAACGAUGUCAACUAGUUUGUUGGGGAUUCAUUUCCUUAGUAACGUAGCUAACGCGUGAAGUUGACCGCCCGGGGGAGUACGGUCGCAAGAUUAAAACUCAAAGGAAUUGACGGGGACCCGCACAAGCGGUGGAAUGAUGUGGAUUAAUUCGAUGCAACGCGAAAAACCUUACCUACCCUUGACAUGCCACUAACGAAGCAGAGAUGCAUUAGGUGCUCGAAAGAGAAAGUGGACACAGGUGCUGCAUGGCUGUCGUCAGCUCGUGUCGUGAGAUGUUGGGUUAAGUCCCGCAACGAGCGCAACCCUUGUCUCUAGUUGCUACGAAAGGGCACUCUAGAGAGACUGCCGGUGACAAACCGGAGGAAGGUGGGGAUGACGUCAAGUCCUCAUGGCCCUUAUGGGUAGGGCUUCACACGUCAUACAAUGGUGCAUACAGAGGGUUGCCAAGCCGCGAGGUGGAGCUAAUCCCAGAAAAUGCAUCGUAGUCCGGAUCGUAGUCUGCAACUCGACUACGUGAAGCUGGAAUCGCUAGUAAUCGCGGAUCAGCAUGCCGCGGUGAAUACGUUCCCGGGUCUUGUACACACCGCCCGUCACACCAUGGGAGUGGGCUUUACCAGAAGUAGUUAGCCUAACCGCAAGGAGGGCGAUAC
rnacentral:rRNA from 1 species